UACGAGGGGGGCAAGCGUUGUUCGGAAUUAUUGGGCGUAAAGGGUGCGUAGGCGGUGCGGUAAGUCUGUUGUGAAAUCUCCGGGCUCAACUCGGAGUCUGCAUCAGAAACUGCCGUGCUGGAGUGUGGGAGAGGUGAGUGGAAUUCCCGGUGUAGCGGUGAAAUGCGUAGAGAUCGGGAGGAACACCUGCGGCGAAAGCGGCUCACUGGACCAUAACUGACGCUGAUGCGCGAAAGCUAGGGGAGCGAACAGG
rnacentral:rRNA from 1 species